rnacentral:rRNA from 1 species
AGCAGCCGCGGUAAUUCCAGCUCCAAUAGCGUAUAUUAAAGUUGUUGCAGUUAAAAAGCUCGUAGUUGAACUUCGGGAUCAAUGGAUUGGUCAUGCCGUUGGUAUGUACUGGUCACAUUGGUUCUCACCUUCUAAGGAACCAUGAUGUCAUUCAUUUGAUGUUGUGGGGAAUUAGGACUGUUACCUUGAAAAAUUAGAGUGUUUAAAGCAGGCUAACGCUUGAAUACAUUAGCAUGGAAUAAUGAAAUAGGACAUCGCAUUCUAUUUUGUUGGUUUCUAGGAUCGAUGUAAUGAUUAAUAGGGAUAGUUGGGGGCAUUAGUAUUCAAUUGUCAGAGGUGAAAUUCUUGGAUUUAUUGAAGACUAACUACUGCGAAAGCAUUUGCCAAGGAUGUUUUCAUUAAUCAAGAACGAAAGUUAGGGGAUCGAAGACGAUCAGAUACCGUCGUAGU